AGUAUUACCUGAUACAGAAACAAGAUAUAGGUAUCAUGAGAGCAAAAAACUAAAGUCUUCUAUGAAUAUAGAUGCAAAACCCCUUGGCAAAAUAACAAACUGAAUCCAUAAGUCAUUUAAAAAAGGUUGUACACUACAUCUAAAUUGGAUUUAUUGGAAGUUCCCGUUCAACGCCAGAUCUGAGCCGCGUCUGUGACCUUCACCACAGCUCAGGGCAAGCCAGAUCCUUAAUCCACUGAGCGAGGCCAGAGAUAGAACCUACAACCUCAUGGUUCCUAGUCGGAUGCGUUUCCGCUGCGCCAUGAUGGGAACUCCUGAAAUAGUUUUGUGUCUUGAUUCCCAUGUUGGUUUGAUGAAUCUAUAAAUGUAGUCAAAUGACAUAUGAUGUACAUUUCACCAAUGUCAAUUUCCUGACUUAGACAUUGUACUUUAAUUAUACAAAAUGUAAUCUUGAGGGAAACACUCUGUAUAUGAAACUUCCCAUAAAUUUACAAAUAUUUAAAAAUAAUUUUAAUUUUUAUGUUUUGUUUUCUGUUGAAGCAUAGUUGAUUUACAACAUUUCGAGUGUACAACAAAGUGAUUCAGUUAUACAUAUGUGUGUAUAUAUAUUCUUUUUCAGGUUCUUUUCCAUUUUAAGUUAUUACAAGAUAUUGAAUAUAGUUCUCUGUGCUAUACAGUAGGUCCUUGUUGUUUCUAUAUUUUAUAUGUAGUAGCAUGUGUCUGUAAUCCCAAAUUUCUAAUUCAUCCCUACCCUCACCUUUCCUCUUUGGUAACCAUAAUUUUGUAAAAAAAAAAAAAAGGAACAAUAAAGGGUUCCUCUUGUGGCUAAGUGGGUUACAAAACCAAACAGUAUCCACGAGGAUGUGGGUUCUAUCCCUGGUCUCACUCAGUUGGUUAAAGAUCUGGCAUUGCCAUGAGCUGUGGUGUAGAUCAUAGCUCUGACUCAAAUCUGACCAUCCUGUGGCUGUAGUGCAGGAUGGCAGCUGCGGUUCCAAUUCGACCCCUAGCCUGGUAACUUCCAUAUAUUGCAGGUAUGGCCCUAAAAAGCAAUAUGUAUAUACACAUACAUAUACAUAUACACACAUACAUACAUACGUUUAUUCAUGUUAUACAUGUAUGUAUAUAUAUAACAAUAAAGUUUAAAAAGUAAGGAUGAUUCAAGAACUAGAGAAACACCUGUGGUAAAAGUGUAUGUGUGUUUGUGUGUGUGUUUGUGAGAGAGAGAACUAUAUUGAAAAGAAAUAUGUUGAAUAGAAAAGAAGGUAGGCAGAUAAAAAAGGCAAAUGGUCAAUUAUUUCUCAUUAGCCAGGCUAAUGAUAGUCCUCAUAUUUCCAGUAUAGUAUAUUAUCUUCCCACAAUUAAUUUCCAUUAUUUUUCUCUCAGUGUCUUCCAGGAAUUCAUACAUGCUCAUCAUUGUAAUAUGGUAAAUCAAAACAGUUACUUGGACUCUCAAGAACUGUCCCUUCAUCUCAUCCCCCCCCAAAGUCAGCAUACAUCCCCUGUCUUAGGACUUUGUUUCCCACUUGAGUAUACUUUUGAUGUUUACUAACAUCCUUUGUUAUUUUUUCAGUUAAAAGAUCAACUUUAAAAACUGAACAUGUAUUUACUAAGUACAACCUAUGGGCAAAGUACAGUAAAUUUGGAGAUUAGAAGAUUAAACAGUAUAUUUGAGAGAAUAAAGGAAUGAAAGAUGUUGUAUUAUGCAUUUUUAAACUUUGUAGCAGUUUUAGACCAUUGCAAGAGAUUAACUAGAAAUAUUAAAUACAGUAACCUUAACAAAGAGAGAAGCUAAUUAUAGUUAAAUCAGACAGAAGGUGAGAUCUCUUGCUGACAAAAAGGAAAAUUCAAAGCAGUGAUUAAGGUAGUGGGAAGAGUUGAAAAUAAGUCUACUUAUAAAUAAGGAGCCCCUCCUUUUACAAAAAAAAGUUUUUACAAAGUUUAACUCAUUCCCUUAUAGGAAGGCAGGUUAUAUGAGAAACAUAAUAACCUAUUAAUUUAAUUAUAUUCAAUAAAUAUCCCCUCUUAUGAUGAAUGACAAAGGUUUCCUAGAAUUCUGCACCUUUGAGCAAAGUGGCAGAUUAAUACCUCUGAGGGGAGCAAGUAGGUGUGAAGAUUAAAAAAUAGUGUCAUCGAUUUGCAUUGCAUUACUUUUAACAUAGAUAACACUGGGAUGGAGAUGGGAAUUGAACAUCUUAACCAGAUUGAUUGGUUUAUCUAUCAAGAACUCCAUGAAUACAGGGGAAUUCACAUUGUGGUACAGUGGAAACAAACCCACUGGUAUCCACGAGGAUGCAGGUUUGAUCCCUGGACUCGCUCAGUGGGUUAAGGAUCUGGCGUUACUAUGAGCUGUGGUGUACAUCGAAGACAAGGCUUGGAUCCGGUGUUGCAGUGGCUGUGGUGUAGACUGGCAACUGUAGCUCUGAUUUGACCCUUAGCCUGGGAAUUUCCAUGUGCCACGGGUACGGCCUUAAAAGGUGAAAAACCCCACCUGUCCCCCCAAAACCCCCCCAAAAAACCCUCCAUGAAAAUAUACACAAGAUACCUAGUACAUGUUUCUAUGCUCAAAAAGACAAUUUGUGAAAGGAGUUCAAGUUUUUAUGUUUCCAUUUGUCAAGGGAAUGCCAAGAGUGUUUACAGCUAGAUCUUGGAACUUAACCAGCAUAAAAGCAAUAUUUCUUGUACUACACCUUCAUCUGUCAGAGUCUAAUGAUCUGCUUCAAAAUUAUGAGGAAUAGGAGUUCCUGUUGUGGCUCAGUGGUUAACGAAUCCGACUAGGAACCUUGAAGUCGCAGGUUUGAUCCCUGGCCUUGCUCAGUGGGUUAAGGAUCCGGCAUUGCUGUGAGCUGUGGUGUAGAUUGCAGAUGCAGCUCGGAUCUGGCAUUGCUGUGGCUCUGGGGUAGGCCGGUGGUCACAGCUCCGAUUCAACCCCUAGCCUAGGAACCUCCAUGUGCCUCGGUAGCAGCCCAACAAAUGGCAAAAAG
rnacentral:lncRNA from 1 species